rnacentral:rRNA from 1 species
UACGUAGGGGCCUAGCGUUGUCCGGAUUUAUUGGGCGUGAAGAGCUCGUAGGCGGUUCGGUAAGUCAGGUGUGAAAUCUCCACGCUCAACGUGGAGGGGCCACCUGAUACUGCCGUGACUCGAGUCCGGUAGGGGAGUGUGGAAUUCCCGGUGUGAGCGGUGGAAAUGCGCAGAGUAUCGGGAGGAACACCUGUGGCGAAAGCGGCUCACUGGACCACAACUGACGCUGAGGCACGAAAGCUAGGGGAGCAAACAGG